GGGCCUAUAGCUCAGCUGGUUAGAGCGCACGCCUGAUAAGCGUGAGGUCGGAAGUUCAAGUCUUCCUAGGCCCACCA
rnacentral:tRNA from 4 species